AAGAAAGACAUUCUGUCUUUGUCCAUAGUGCCUGGCACAGAACUCCUGUUGAGGAACCCCUGUUCCCUCAAACCCCUGGAACACCACACAGAGAACUAUCUCCAGGUCUGGACUUCCCCUGACUUGGAGACAGCCUUAUUCUCAGAUCUCUCUCUCUUUUCAAGUGGACUAUCCUCUGUACAACCCAGAGAGCCCCAUCCAAAUAUCACUCAUUGUGGAAGAAAUCUGAUGCUAUGCCUUGAGGACACUCAAGUGGCCUAUGGAGAGGCGAACAUGUAAGGAAUUGAGCCUCCUAGUAACAGCUAAUGAGAAGCAGAGGGCUCUGCCAACAGCCAUGUUAAUGAGCCCUUGGGGAAGUGGACCCUCCACUCCCAACCCAGCAUUCAGAUGGCUGAGAAAGAUAAGAAACAUCUAUCUCAAGCACUAUGAGACUCCCUCCUCUCCAUCUCCAAGGGUCAGGCCACGGUCUUAGUCAUUGCCAAGAGCAUCACAGAAGGCCUCUGUCUCUGGUUCCUACCUGGCCCUUUCUAUGCUCGUUAACUGAUGCUGCAGCCUGACUUCUUCAAGACUAAGUUGGGCUGUAUGCUUGCAAUCAUGGGAGGAAAACAAAAGAGGGUAUAAACACAAUACAAUGCCUCGACAAAUCACUCCAUCUCAGGGGGUCAGAAAAUAAAUUAAAUGUUAGGAAAAACAGAAAAGAAGUAAGCAACAUAGUGCCAGCCUUUGGGUUCUUAGACACUCAAAAGGAAACAGAAAGUACAGAAACAAUACACCAGGAAAUAAAAGAGGGCAUUUUUAGAAGUACCAUUUAAAUUGCAAGGGCUGCAGGAAUCAACAGAAGGAAAUAAUCCGGGCGAGGGGGAGGGGACUUAAUAAGAAUAAUAAUUAUAUAUAUUCCCUCAAAUUUGUAUGGAAUUUAUAAAUUAUGAGGGAUUUUCACACAUUUAUAACUUCAUUUUAGACACUUACAAUGAAAUUAAGUAAAAUGGGGUUGGCGGGACAGAUGGUAACAUCUUUAUUUUACAGAUGAGGAACUUGGACUCAGCUAGCUUUGGCGACUUGUUGAGAAAGUCAGAACCAGUUAGUCGUGGAAUAUAAAAUUGAGCUCGGCUCUCUUCCUACCUAGUCUUUUCUCUGCUCCACUCCCACACUUCAGUGAGAGUUGCUUUCCUGAAGGAGUAAGUUCUAAAGCAGGAUUGGAAGUUCCUAUAGGGACAAAGAGAAGAGGCAUCCACGAGUGGCAAGGAGUGUGAAAGGGAUGAAAAACACAUAAGAAGAAAUGGAGACAGGCAGAAGGUCCCAGCUACAGGACAGAAAAGCCAGGGUGUGGGCUUCUGAGAGAUGAUGCUGAGUGCAUGAGCUGGACUUGUGGAAUACAUACAGAAGAUGCCUCCAAUUACUGAGAGGUUAAGAAGAACAUUAUAUUGCCUCACAAAUCCUGUUUGUUACUGUAUGGAAUUGUAAAAAUUAUGGAAGAAACUGAAGGAAUUACUCCUCUAAAGCAGAUACUCCUGGAAAGUUAAACAACUUGGCUAAUAAUCUCCUGCUGGAGUUGGACAAGAAGACCUCACCAAAGCUGAAAGAUAAGAGAAACAUUUGUUUGGGCUGAGACAGCUGUUUCAUGAAAUGCAACAUCAUAUCUCAUUUUUCUUCAUGAACUUCUCUCAUUUAACAAUUAGGCUGGAAGAACACACAUUACCAAUAGGUUCAGUCGUGUAACACUCAGAACCUGGAAAUAACGAGUUGGAAGUUUCAGAUCCUACAAAAUAAAUCAGUUACUCCAUCAAUUCUAUAAUAUAAGGCAAAGAAUCUGAAAAUUGAAGGAAGAUAUUUUGAACAACACUGUGCAAAAGCUAUUGCUGAGUUAGGUAUUCAGUUAAGCCAAACACCACGCCUGGUUCUCAGUUUGUUUUGCAAAAGCAUUUAUUCUACAUUUCAGAUAUGCACAUGUUCCAACUUGGGCUAGAAAGACUUAACUAAAAAUAACACCACUAUCACCAAGUGAUGCUAUGGUUGACCAAUACUCCAGGAUUUGAAAAAAAAUUCCCCAAAUGCUACAAAUUCCCUAGGAACUGGAAGCUUUUCCUCUCCUUAAGGUGAAAGACUGCUUCUCCUCUUGGUGUUUUGCCAUUAAAAAAAGGAAGUAUUUAGCAAACAACUAGCAGAUCCAUCAAAAGGUUAGGAUUCUUUUUAUUUUAGUGCUCUUUCUUAAUGGGCAAAAAUUGAUUGAUUAGUUCACCUGGAAUGUUCUUAGCCUUAGGGCAGAAACAGAGCUUUGUACGCAUUAGUGGACUGGAUUUAUAAAAGAAAAAAGUCCACAUUCAAGAAUACAGAGAAUUUCAAAAAUACAAGAAAAUAGAAAAAAGAAAAACAAGGUCUGGAAGCAUAUUAAAAUUCUUGUAUUCAUUAAAAAUCAAAUGGCUGUGUUUUCAGUUGUAUUGAGUUAUCAUAUGUGUACUGGUUCUUUGCCUUAGUUCCAAAUGUACUCAUAUUAUCAUCUCUAAAUCCAUCUGGAUAGUUUAUACAGUGAACCCUGGAAUCACCUUAGUUUCUCCAAACUCCAUCUACUUUUU